rnacentral:rRNA from 1 species
CCCGGGCCUUCUGGUUAGGUACGUCAGGUGCCAGCUUAUUCAACUAGCACUUGUUCUUCCCUAACAACAGAGUUUUACGACCCGAAAGCCUUCAUCACUCACGCGGCGUUGCUCCGUCAGACUUUCGUCCAUUGCGGAAGAUUCCCUACUGCUGCCUCCCGUAGGAGUCCCCCCGUGCCCCCGCCCCGCCCGCCGCGCGCGGCGGGCGAGGGGGGGGCACGGGGGG